UCUUAAGAGCUUUUCGCCAUUAGGCAAAAU
rnacentral:sRNA from 1 species